CACAAGCUACCACCAAUCGUGAUGAAGGCGGGUUAUCAUAAUAAUUGUUCGAUCCGGAUGAUUUUACUGGAAACGCUGUUGCAUUGGUCAACGACACUAACCAUCACCAUGAUGUGGAGAAGUAUCAAACACUAUAAUUUUGGUCAACUGUGUGUGGUCGUUGGCGAAUGCACGGUGCUUUCUUGUAGAACAUCCUGUCGGGUGGAAGAUGCGUGAUAGGUCCGAUCCAUGAUGCAGUCAAAUUAAGAUGUAAUACCGAGUUGCUUGUACACUUGUCAUGAAGUCCAAAUACACUUGCUUGCUGUUUUGGGAGGAUGAUCUGUAACCAUGGGAACAACAAAUGUAUUGGUGGAUACUAGCUCAUUUCCUUUUCCAACUUUCGGAAAUCCAAACCCAAAAAAAAUUAACAAAGAGAAGGGGCUAAGGAUAAGACUGCAAAAUGGUGACAAGAAGUACAUGUGGCGGUCUUUGGCGCUAAAUGGUGGCUCAAACAUAAAUGAAAAAUGGCCUAAUGUUAAACGGUUUCCUUGGCAAGUUUUAAUUAACUUAUAUAUAUAUAUAUAUAUAUAUAUAUAUAUAUAUAUAUAUAUAUAUAUAUAUAUAUAUAUAUAUAUAUAUAUAUAUAUAUAUAUAUAUAUAUAUAUUAAAGUCCUAAUAUUUUUAUCGAUUUGACAAAAAAGUCCUAAACAUUAUUUUUUUGACAGUAAAGUCCAAAUUACCGGCAGUUUUUGACACUUUUUACCUUUUUCUCCGAUUAGUCGGUAGUUAAGACUUUUUUUUUUUUUCAAAAAUAUAAAGUUUAAGACUUUCUUGUUAAAUAGUCAAUUAGGACUUUACUGUCAAAAAAUAAAAUUUAGUACUUUUUUGUCAAAUCGUUGAAAAUAUUGGGAGUUUAGUGUAUAUAUCCUUUUUUGGUUAGAAAUUUAAUGGUAUGAUACUCUUUAAGCAUAAGAGUUAUUGAAACUUUCUUUAGUUCGCUAGAUCCUAUUGAAAUCCUUAACGUUUACUUAUUGUUAAAUCGUUUUUUAAUCUCAACAAACCGACAUUGAAAAAAAUGGAGAUAAUAGAGAAAGAAAGAAAAAACCAUGGUUGUGUUGGCUUUUUGUAAUCACAAAAAUGGAGAAAUAAGAAACCGAAAAAAACGAAAUUGUCCUUCUUUUCUUUCUCCACAUUCACACCACUAGGCAUGUGUUGUUUGUGUUUGUAUAAUUUGUCCUCACUUUUUAGUUCAAGAUUUGGCAGCGAAGUAAGAAAAAGUUUUACAAGGGUGAAAAGACUUGUAAAACCUUCUUCUUACUUCGCCGCCAAAUCUUGAACUAAAAAAUGGGGACAAAUUAUACAAACACAAACAAUACAUGUCUAGUAAAAAUGGUGUGAAUGUGGAGAACAGAAAGAAGGGCAAUUUCAUUUUUUUCGGUUUCAUAUUUCUCCAUUUUUGGGACUGUAAAAAGCCAAUACAACCCUGAUUCUUUCUUUCUUUCUUGAUUAUCUCUAUUUUUUUCAAUGUCCAUUUGUUGAGAUUAAAAAAACGAUUUAACAAGAAAAAACGUUAAAGAUUUUAAUAGGAUCUAGCUGACAAUAGAAGGUUUCAAUAACUCCUAUGCUUAAAGAGUAUCAUACCAUUAAAAAAUGAUACAUACACUAAAUUCCCAAUAUUUUCAACGAUUUGACAAUAAAGUGUUAAACUUUAUUUUUUUUACAGUAAAAUCAUAAUUGACAAUUUGACAAGAAAGUCCUAAAUUUUAUUUUUUUUGACAAAAAAAGUCCUAAUUACCGGAUAACCGGGAAAAAGGGUAAAAGUGUUAAAAACUGUCGGUAAUUUGGACUUUACUGUAAAAAAAAUAAAGUUUAGGAUUUUCUUGUCAAAUCGAUGAAAAUUUUGGGACUUUAGUGUAUGUAUCCCUAACUUUUAAGUUUAUUUUCAUGUUAAAUAUUUUCUUUAGUUUUGUUUAUAUAUAUAUAUAUAUAUAUAUAUAUAUAUAUAUAUAUAUAUAUAUAUAUAUAUAUAUAUAUAUAUACCCAGGUUCUUUUAAGAACUAAAAGAUUUGGAAGAACUUGCGAACUCAUAAUCAACUCAUCAUUUUUCAACAUCAAAACACAAAUCUUCUCCAACCGGUACGUCUAAGUUCAAAAAAAGGAUUUGACAAUUUUUUUUUUGAUUUUUUGUAUGACUGCUGAUGAGCACAACCAACAGUUGUACGAACUACUAAUGAGCACAAUCAAUAGUCAUAUGACUGCUGAUUGUGCAUAUAUGCAGUCCUUAUGAUUGCUGAUUAUGCUCAUCAGCACUCCUUACAAUUGCUGAUUAUGCAUACAUGCAAAGUUUCUAAAAUAAACAAAAAAAAUUGUUAACUUUUUUUUAGCAUGCAUAUAGCUUGGAUGCACCAUUUAGAGAAGAUUGAUUUUUUUGGUGUUAAAAAUGAUAAGAUGAUUAUGAGUUCGCAAAUUCAUACCUUUUUUUUUUUUUUUUUUUUUACAGUUUUUACAAUACACAACCCUAUCUAUAUAUAACCUAUAAAGAUAUUUUUGCCACUUAUCAUACUCUCAUUCCAUUUGACACAUCAUUUUAAGAUGUUUUUUUUAUUUAUAUAUUUUUUCCAUAUGUCAUUUUAUGGUUUUUUCCAUUUUAUAAAAUUGCACAUAAUAGUCAAAUAUAAUAAAUGUAUAAUAAAGGAAUAACAA